CGGUAAUUCCAGCUCCAAUAGCGCAUACUAAAGUUGUUGCAGUUAAAAAGCUCGUAGUUGGAUUUCUGCGGGGACGGAGCGGCCGGACGCAACUUGCGUCUCGAGCUAGCGCUUUCCCCGCAUCCUGCCGCGAACCGUGCUACCAUUAGUUUGGUGGCGCUGGGGAUCGGCUCGAUUACUUUGAGAAAAAUAGAGUGUUCAAAGCAGGCCACACGCCUUGAAUAAGUUAGCAUGGAAUAAUGACUAAGGACUUCGGUUCUAUUUUGUUGGUGUUCGGGACUGAAGUAAUGAUUGAUAGGGACAGUUGGGGCGGUCUGUAUUCCAAAGCGAGAGGUGAAAUUCUUAGACCUUCGGAAGACAAACAGCUGCGAAAGCGUUCCGCAAGGAUGUUCCCUUUGAUCAAGAACGAAAGUUGGGGGAUCGAAGACGAUCAGAUACCGUCGUAGUCUCAACUAUAAACUAUACCAGCUAGGGAUCGGCCAACGUUUAAUUAUUCGACUUGGUCGGCACCUUAUGAGAAAUCAAAGCAUCUGGGUUCCGGGGGGAGUAUGGUCGCAAGGCUGAAACUUAAAGGAAUUGACGGAAGGGCACCACCAGCCGUGGAGCCUGUGGCUUAAUUUGACUCAACACGGGAAAACUUACCAGGUCCAGACAUAGGAAGGAUUGACAGAUUGAUAGCUCUUUCUUGAUUCUGUGGGUGGUGGUGCAUGGCCGUUUUUAGUUGGUGGAGUGAUUUGUCUGCUUAAUUGCGUUAACGAACGAGACCCCAGCCUGCUAAAUAGCGCGGCCGAGCUUUGCUCGGUGCGAGCUUCUUAGAGGGACCAUGAUGCGCGAUAGCACAAGGAAGUUUGGGGCAACAACAGGUCUGUGAUGCCCUUAGAUGUUCUGGGCCGCACACGGGCUACACUGGCGCCUGCAACGAGCAUAUCAGCUGGCCCGAGAGGGUCUUGGCUAAUCUUUUGAACCGGCGCCGUGCUUGGGAUUGACCUUUGCAAUUGUUGGUCAUGCAACGAGGAAUGCCUUGUAAACGCGAGUCAUCAGCUCGCAUUGAAUACGUCCCUGCCCUUUGUACACACCGCCCGUCGCUCCUACCGAUGAAUGUUCCGAUGAAAUUUUCGGAGAGCGCCAGAGAACGGGGCUCUGCCUUGCAGAUCUGGAGGCUCAAAGUCACUUAAAUCUGAACAUUUCGAGGAAGGAGAAGUCGUAACAAGGUAGCCG
rnacentral:rRNA from 1 species